GCGUUGUUGGGUAGGGGAGCGUUCUGUAAGCCUGUGAAGGUGUGCUGUGAGGCAUGCUGGAGGUAUCAGAAGUGCGAAUGCUGACAUAAGUAACGAUAAAGCGGGUGAAAAGCCCGCUCGCCGGAAGACCAAGGGUUCCUGUCCAACGUUAAUCGGGGCAGGGUGAGUCGACCCCUAAGGCGAGGCCGAAAGGCGUAGUCGAUGGGAAACAGGUUAAUAUUCCUGUACUUGGUGUUACUGCGAAGGGGGGACGGAGAAGGCUAUGUUGGCCGGGCGACGGUUGUCCCGGUUUAAGCGUGUAGGCUGGUUUUCCAGGCAAAUCCGGAAAAUCAAGGCUGAGGCGUGAUGACGAGGCACUACGGUGCUGAAGCAACAAAUGCCCUGCUUCCAGGAAAAGCCUCUAAGCAUCAGGUAACAUCAAAUCGUACCCCAAACCGACACAGGUGGUCAGGUAGAGAAUACCAAGGCGCUUGAGAGAACUCGGGUGAAGGAACUAGGCAAAAUGGUGCCGUAACUUCGGGAGAAGGCACGCUGAUAUGUAGGUGAAGUCCCUCGCGGAUGGAGCUGAAAUCAGUCGAAGAUACCAGCUGGCUGCAACUGUUUAUUAAAAACACAGCACUGUGCAAACACGAAAGUGGACGUAUACGGUGUGACGCCUGCCCGGUGCCGGAAGGUUAAUUGAUGGGGUCAGCGCAAGCGAAGCUCUUGAUCGAAGCCCCGGUAAACGGCGGCCGUAACUAUAACGGUCCUAAGGUAGCGAAAUUCCUUGUCGGGUAAGUUCCGACCUGCACGAAUGGCGUAAUGAUGGCCAGGCUGUCUCCACCCGAGACUCAGUGAAAUUGAACUCGCUGUGAAGAUGCAGUGUACCCGCGGCAAGACGGAAAGACCCCGUGAACCUUUACUAUAGCUUGACACUGAACAUUGAGCCUUGAUGUGUAGGAUAGGUGGGAGGCUUAGAAGUGUGGACGCCAGUCUGCAUGGAGCCGACCUUGAAAUACCACCCUUUAAUGUUUGAUGUUCUAACGUUGACCCGUAAUCCGGGUUGCGGACAGUGUCUGGUGGGUAGUUUGACUGGGGCGGUCUCCUCCUAAAGAGUAACGGAGGAGCACGAAGGUUGGCUAAUCCUGGUCGGACAUCAGGAGGUUAGUGCAAUGGCAUAAGCCAGCUUGACUGCGAGCGUGACGGCGCGAGCAGGUGCGAAAGCAGGUCAUAGUGAUCCGGUGGUUCUGAAUGGAAGGGCCAUCGCUCAACGGAUAAAAGGUACUCCGGGGAUAACAGGCUGAUACCGCCCAAGAGUUCAUAUCGACGGCGGUGUUUGGCACCUCGAUGUCGGCUCAUCACAUCCUGGGGCUGAAGUAGGUCCCAAGGGUAUGGCUGUUCGCCAUUUAAAGUGGUACGCGAGCUGGGUUUAGAACGUCGUGAGACAGUUCGGUCCCUAUCUGCCGUGGGCGCUGGAGAACUGAGGGGGGCUGCUCCUAGUACGAGAGGACCGGAGUGGACGCAUCACUGGUGUUCGGGUUGUCAUGCCAAUGGCACUGCCCGGUAGCUAAAUGCGGAAGAGAUAAGUGCUGAAAGCAUCUAAGCACGAAACUUGCC
rnacentral:rRNA from 1 species